rnacentral:rRNA from 1 species
UUUUCUGUGGUUGACCUCGGAUCAGGUAGGAAUACCCGCUGAACUUAAGCAUA